UGCAGUCGAGGGGUAACUUUGUUAAUAGCAAUAUUAAUAAGCUAGACCGGCGCACGGGUGCGUAACACGUAUGCAACCUACCUUAUACUGGGGAAUAACUUUGAGAAAUCGGCGCUAAUACCCCAUAACAUUGCGAAAUGGCAUCAUUUUGCAAUUAAAGCUCCGGCGGUAUAAGAUGGGCAUGCGUCCAAUUAGCUAGUUGGUGAGGUAACUGCUCACCAAGGCUACGAUUGGUAGGGGUUCUGAGAGGAUGAUCCCCCACACUGGUACUGAGACACGGACCAGACUCCUACGGGAGGCAGCAGUGAGGAAUAUUGCGCAAUGGACGAAAGUCUGACGCAGCCAUGCCGCGUGCAGGAUGACGGCCCUAUGGGUUGUAAACUGCUUUUGUAUGGGAAUAAACCCUUCUACGUGUAGAAGGCUGAAGGUACCAUAAGAAUAAGCACCGGCUAACUCCGUGCCAGCAGCCGCGGUAAUACGGAGGGUGCAAGCGUUAUCCGGAUUUAUUGGGUUUAAAGGGUCCGUAGGCGGGCCGAUAAGUCAGUGGUGAAAGCCCAUAGCUCAACUAUGGAACUGCCAUUGAUACUGUCGGUCUUGAGUACAAUUGAAGUUGGCGGAAUGUGUAGUGUAGCGGUGAAAUGCUUAGAUAUUACACAGAACACCGAUUGCGAAGGCAGCUGACUAAUUUGUAACUGACGC
rnacentral:rRNA from 1 species